UACGAAGGGGGCUAGCGUUGCUCGGAAUCACUGGGCGUAAAGGGUGCGUAGGCGGGUCUUUUAAGUCAGGGGUGAAAUCCUGGAGCUCAACUCCAGAACUGCCUUUGAUACUGGGGGAUCUCGAGUCCGGGGAGAGGUGAGUGGAACUCCGAGUGUAGAGGUGAAAUUCGUAGAUAUUCGCAAGAACACCAGUGGCGAAGGCGGCUCACUGGCCCAUAACUGACGCUGAGGCACGAAAGCGUGGGGAGCAAACAGG
rnacentral:rRNA from 1 species